UUCGGGGUCCGCGUUGUAAUUUGCAGAGGAUGCUUCGGGUGCAGCCCCCGUCUAAGUGCCCUGGAACGGGCCGUCAUAGAGGGUGAGAAUCCCGUCUGGGACGGGGUGUCUGCGUCCGUGUGAAGCUCCUUCGAAGAGUCGAGUUGUUUGGGAAUGCAGCUCUAAAUGGGUGGUAAAUUUCAUCUAAAGCUAAAUACUGGCCGGAGACCGAUAGCGCACAAGUAGAGUGAUCGAAAGAUGAAAAGCACUUUGAAAAGAGAGUUAAACAGCACGUGAAAUUGUUGAAAGGGAAGCGUUUGCGACCAGACUCGCUCGCGGGGUUCAGCCGGCAUUCGUGCCGGUGUACUUCCCCGUGGGCGGGCCAGCGUCGGUUUGGGCGGCCGGUCAAAGGCCCUCGGAAUGUAUCACCUCUCGGGGUGUCUUAUAGCCGAGGGUGCAAUGCGGCCUGCCCGGACCGAGGAACGCGCUUCGGCUCGGACGCUGGCGUAAUGGUCGUAAAUGACCCGUCUUGAAACACGGACCAAGGAGUCUAACAUCUACGCGAGUGUUCGGGUGUCAAACCCGUACGCGCAGUGAAAGCGAACGGAGGUGGGAGCCCCCUCGUGGGGCGCACCAUCGACCGAUCCUGAUGUCUUCGGAUGGAUUUGAGUAUGAGCGUAGCUGUGGGGACCCGAAAGAUGGUGAACUAUGCCUGAAUAGGGCGAAGCCAGAGGAAACUCUGGUGGAGGCUCGCAGCGGUU
rnacentral:rRNA from 1 species